AACGAACGCUGGCGGCAGGCCUAACACAUGCAAGUCGAGCGCCCCGCAAGGGGCGCGGCGGACGGGUGAGUAACGCGUGGGAAUAUGCCCUUUGCUACGGAAUAGUCUCGGGAAACUGGGGGUAAUACCGUAUACGCCCUUUGGGGGAAAGAUUUAUCGGCGAAGGAUUAGCCCGCGUUGGAUUAGGUAGUUGGUGGGGUAAUGGCCUACCAAGCCGACGAUCCAUAGCUGGUUUGAGAGGAUGAUCAGCCACACUGGGACUGAGACACGGCCCAGACUCCUACGGGAGGCAGCAGUGGGGAAUCUUAGACAAUGGGGGCAACCCUGAUCUAGCCAGGCCGCGUGAGUGAUGAAGGCCUUAGGGUUGUAAAGCUCUUUCAGCUGGGAAGAUAAUGACGGUACCAGAAGAAGAAGCCCCGGCUAACUCCGUG
rnacentral:rRNA from 1 species